CCCUUAGAUGUCCUGGGCCGCACGCGCGUUACACUGAUGCAUUCAACGAGCUUAUAACCUUGGCCGAGAGGCCUGGGCAAUCUUGUUAACGUGCAUCGUGAUAGGGAUAGAUUAUUGAAUUUAUUAAUCUUGAACGAGGAGUUCCUAGUAAACGCAGAUCAUCAAUCUGCAUUGAUUACGUCCCUGCCCUUUGUACACACCGCCCGUCGCACCUACCGAUUGGAUGGUCCGGUGAAGCCUCGGGAUUGUGGUUCUUGCCGCUUUAUUGUGGCGUGACCGCGAGAACUUGUCUAAACCUUAUCAUCUAGAGGAAGGUGAAGUCGUAACA
rnacentral:rRNA from 1 species